CGAACCGUGGCGGGAGAGUCCUCCCGUCGUCGGCCCGUAUCCCGCGAGGGGCCGAGCCGUCCGGCGAGGCGCCGAAGGAGCAAGCCCCUCCCCGGGAAACUCUCAGGCCCCCGUACCGCCACGGCGAG
rnacentral:ncRNA from 2 species